rnacentral:rRNA from 1 species
UACAGAGGGGGCAAGCGUUGUUCGGAAUUACUGGGCGUAAAGGGCGCGUAGGCGGCCUUCUAAGUCGAACGUGAGAUCCCCGGGCUCAACCCGGGAACUGCGUCCGAUACUGGAAGGCUUGAAUCCGGGAGAGGGAUGUGGAAUUCCAGGUGUAGCGGUGAAAUGCGUAGAUAUCUGGAGGAACACCGGUGGCGAAGGCGACAUCCUGGACCGGUAUUGACGCUGAGGCGCGAAAGCCAGGGGAGCAAACGGG